rnacentral:rRNA from 1 species
GUGGCGAGCGUUGUUCGGAAUCACUGGGCUUAAAGCGCGCGUAGGCGGAAUGGCAUGUGCUUUGUGAAAUCCCACGGCUUAACCGUGGAAUUGCUUGGCAAACUGCUAUUCUUGAGGCAAGCAGGGGUGUAUGGAACUCUUGGUGGAGCGGUGGAAUGCGUAGAUAUCAAGAGGAACGCCAAUGGCGAAGGCAGUACACUGGGCUUGUCCUGACGCUGAGGUGCGAAAGCGUGGGGAGCGAACGGGAUUAGAUACCCCGGUAGUCCACGCUGUAAACGAUGUCUACUAGGUUGUGGAAGUUCUGACGCUUUCACGGCCGAAGCAAAAGUGUUAAGUAGACCGCCUGGGGAGUACGGUCGCAAGGCUAAAACUCAAAGGGAUUGACGGGGGCUCACACAAGCGGUGGAGCAUGUGGAUUAAUUCGAAGCAACGCGCAGAACCUUACCUGGGUUUGACAUGCUUGGAUGCCUGCCUGGAAACAGGUUAGGUUGCCCUUCGGGGUGAAACUUGCACAGGUGCUGCAUGGCUGUCGUCAGCUCGUGUCGUGAGAUGUCGGGUUAAGUCCUUUAACGAGCGAAACCCUUGCCGUUAGUUGCCAGCGAGUAAUGUCGGGGACUCUAACGGGACUGCCGGUGUUAAACCGGAGGAAGGUGGGGAUGACGUCAAGUCCUCAUGGCCUUUAUGCCCAGGGCUUCACACGUGCUACAAUGGCGUACACAAAGCGAUGCGAUACCGCGAGGUGGAGCAAAUCGCACAAAAGACGCCUCAGUUCGGAUUGCAGGCUGACAACUCGCCUGCAUGAAGUUGGAAUCGCUAG